rnacentral:rRNA from 1 species
GACGAACGCUGGAGGCGUGCUUAACACAUGCAAGUCGAACGAUGAAAUGGAGCUUGCUCCAUGGAUUAGUGGCGAACGGGUGAGUAACACGUGAAUAACCUGCCCUUAAUUCUGGAAUAACCCAGGGAAACCUGGGCUAAUACCGGAUAAGUAAACCUGUGGCAUCACAUGGUUUUGGAAAGUUUUUCGAUUAAGGAUGGAUUCGCGGCCUAACAGCUUGUUGGUGAGGUAAUGGCUCACCAAGGCGACGACGGGUAGCCGGCCUGAGAGGGUGAACGGCCACACUGGGACUGAGACACGGCCCAGACUCCUACGGGAGGCAGCAGUGGGGAAUAUUGCGCAAUGGACGAAAGUCUGACGCAGCGACGCCUCGUGAGGGACGAAGGUCUUCGGAUUGUAAACCUCUUUCAGCAGAGACGAAGCGAAAGUGACGGUACCUGCAGAAGAAGCACCGGCUAACUAUGUGCCAGCAGCCGCCGUAA